UUUAGGGUUGGUGAUAUCAAUUCACAUCACCACCACAUGUAAACAUGAAUUAAUUGAAUGCCAUUGGUUAGAUGUAGGGUUUAGAAUGAGCCUCAUUGUGAUGUUUGUUAGUUGUAGAAUGUUUGUGGGGGGCUGAGUUAUUAAGGAAGAAGACAUGAGGAAUGGGGAGGCACAGAGAACUUCACUGUGGAAGAUGCAAACAUAGAGGGAGAGAAGAAUUUCCUCUCUGUCUAUGGAAGCUUGAGAAAUAGGGAUGAGCUUGCUGUGGGGGCACAGCUGAAUGAUGCAGCAAGUUGAAACUGAAUAAUUGAUUGAAGUUUCUGGAAAUUGAACUUAUGGGUAUGUGGGUGCCAUAUUUUAUUUUGAAUAAAACAACAAAGAUAUCUGGUAUAAAAAUACUUUCUUCUUUAAGGAUUAGAGUCUACUCCUGCAACCAAAAUGACACUGUAUGUUAACUAACUUGAAUUUAAAUAAAUAAAUUAAAAAAAAGAAUUAGAGUAUGCCAACAAAAAUCAAUGAUCAAUGCAAAGUUCUAAAAUAAAAUUUUUUUUUUGGUAAUAAUUCCACAGUUUUAGGUAAGGCUAAAAAAACAGAUAGAAGUAAAGUUGAAGAUCAAAACAACAAAUUUAUGGUAAGUAUAUUAAAAGACAGAACAUUUUAGUUUUAUUAUCCAAAAAGA